GCAUUGUUGAAGUGUCCUAUACUAGGACGAAACGGCCGUCCAGUGC
rfam:Schistosoma rodhaini strain Burundi genome assembly, scaffold: SROB_scaffold0006321